rnacentral:rRNA from 1 species
CCUACGGGAGGCAGCAGUGGGGAAUAUUGGACAAUGGGCGAAAGCCUGAUCCAGCAAUUCCGCGUGUGUGAAGAAGGCCUUCGGGUUGUAAAGCACUUUAGUGGGGGAAGAAACAGCUUGGCCACACCAAGCCUUGACGGUACCCCAAGAAUAAGCACCGGCUAACUCUGUGCCAGCAGCCGCGGUAAUACAGAGGGUGCAAGCGUUAAUCGGAUUUACUGGGCGUAAAGGGUGCGUAGGUGGCUAUUUAAGUCGGAUGUGAAAGCCCGGGGCUCAACCUCGGAAUUGCAUUCGAUACUGAGUGGCUAGAGUUCGGUAGAGGGCGGCGGAAUUUCCGGUGUAGCGGUGAAAUGCGUAGAUAUCGGAAGGAACAUCAAUGGCGAAGGCAGCCGCCUGGGCCUGGACUGACACUGAGGCACGAAAGCGUGGGUAGCAAACAGGAUUAGAUACCCUGGUAGUCCACGCCGUAAACGAUGAGAACUUGACGUUGGUUCGUUUUACGAAUCGGUGUCGCNGCUACGACGAUAGUUACUCCGUCCGUCGGGUAGGUACGGCCGGCCGACGGUUAGGUAAACGUAACGUAAGUAAGUACGGACGCGUGAGACGUCGACGACGACGACGACGGAGGGAGGAGG